rnacentral:tRNA from 1 species
GUUUUUGUAGUUGAAUGUACAACGAUGAUUUUUCAUGUCAUAGGUCAUGGGGAGUCCAUGCAAAAAUA